rnacentral:tRNA from 1 species
CAAGAAAUAAUUUAAAAAAAAUAUUAAAUUUGGAUUUUAAAAUUGGGUUUUCCUUUUCUUGA